AUCUCAUCCAUUCUAGCCACAAAUUAGUGUCUGAAAACCCAGUCUCUACUGUCAUAGUGUCUUCAAAGGUGGGAUUGGCUAUAGCUACCAUGUCAUGUAGAGUAUUAAUAUGUGGUUUUAACGUGUUAAUAGUCAUGUGAGUGGUUCCUACCCAGUCUGGUGAGGUGAGCCUUUUUGCUAGGUAUGUCUUUGUGGAAAAGGUGCAAACAACUAUGUCACAGUAAUCAAAGGUGUAUGUAGUUACAUCUGUGUUAGAAGAAUUGUACCAGAAAGUGUAAACAUGAUUAUCUUUGGUUAUGGCCACUUGUUGGGCCCAGGCAAAGUGUAGCAGCAUAAGAAAACACAAGACACAUAAUAAAUUCAUAUUUCAGCAAGAUUAGCCUCUUCUGGAGCAGGCACUUUUUUGCAAUGUGAGGCGUGUAUCCAAGAACUCUUCCCGGCUAGUUUAACAGACGUUGCUGUAAUCAGGAGCACUUGAUAUGGGCCAUCAAAUCUUGGUUCUAGGGUGUGUUUCCUGAGAAACUUCUUAACCAUAACCCAAUCACCAGGAAGCAGCUUGUGUGUACCUGUAUUUGACUCAGGAUCUGGAAUAGAAGAAAACACUUGGGCAUGUAUUUUGGUCAAGGCAUGUGAGAGGGCAGUCACAU